GUAUGUUAAUAAAAAUUAUUUUGUUGUUUUGUAUGUGCAGAUGAUGGAAGCAUUUUUAGCUAUCAUGUGGUGUUCAAAAAAGAUUGUGGAAGAUGUUUUUGUGUCCACUUGGCUGGGAAGGAUUUACUGAAAAGAUUUUUUUUUUGGCAAUCACAUGGUUAUGAAAGUUAUUUUUUUUUUGACAGAAAAUGGUUAGGAAAGAAGACAAUGAAAAAGAUUUGGUGGUCAUGUGGAUAUGAAAAGGGAUGAAGUUUUGUGACUACUCUGGUGGACCGGUGAACGCAGGUGAAGUUCAGUGGUUCACUGAUACUUCAUUCUUAGGUUUGAAGGGUAAGAGAUGGAGCCAGGAUUUACCAAGUAUCCACCCUCCUGGAAGUUAAUAAGCUAAGUCAUGCGUAAAGUCUGAUUCUAUCGAGGUUAUCGAGCAUAAAGUGUCGAAGUAUUUGCCUUGAAUCGACGGAAUCGACUGUUUGGAACGUUUGGAAUGAUGGGUAAUUUGUUUCGCAGACCGCUGUGCAGAACAGGAUGGAUGAGAAAGCGUACAUUUAAUUUGUUUUGGGGCGGAGAAUUCUGGAAAUUAUGCGACAAAGGAUACAAGAGCUGUAAAAGGUAGUUACUGUAAGAUGCGAAUAAGGAAAGCACAAUUGAAUUUUACGAGUGGUUAGAGGUGGAGGCAGAACUCUGGGGAGAGAUAUGAAAAAGAAAUCUGCCAUCCAUCUGUGCCUUGUAGGAGGGUCAGUUCUCCUUGUUGCACAGUUAAGCCUUCUUGGGUUACUCCUGUAUCCACACAAUCAGCGUCAUACACAUUUUCUGAAAGAUGUUGAGACAUUAGUCAACAUAACCUCAAAAUUACGUAUGUCACUAGUUGCAAUUGACAGUGAAGCCUUACAGCAUUUUAAUAAUCAGAAAAAUGGUGUCAGAAUGCAGUGUGUUCUUUGUGAAACCAAACAUCCAGCAACAUUUGUCACAUUAUUUAGGGGUCUUAAACAGAGUGAUGACUUUGUGUCUAUGUUACAAGAAGCCAGAUUCCAUGUUGUCAGUCUACAAAACUUAAAUCCACCUGAAGUACCAUCUGGUAUUUCUAUAAAUAUACCAAUCUGUUAUUUGCUCAAGAGAAAUAUUGUGAUACAUCUUGUACUCUUUCAUGAGAGGGAGGGUAAUUACUGGUGGCAUGGUGGUCUCCUCAGUGACCCAAGAGCAAUAUCUGAACUUUCAACUUUUGGCUUAUCAGUACACACUGUACAAAUGAUGAAGACUGAAGGAGCCUUCGACAAGUUUGAAACAGACUUGGUUGAUAUGGGUGGUAUACCUAUUUUGAUACCAAAAAAUAUUCCACGUUUCCUGCAUGAUACUGAAAGUUCAAGGUUUAUUGAAUGCAGUCAUGUGUUAGCAGACUCAUUUCACCGAUCUCAUGGAAAAGAUACAACACCUGAAGCCUUGAGAUUUGUCCACAGAGCAUGGAAACUGCUGUCAAAAGCUAAGACUUUGCUGGAUAAACUUGGAAUCCGAUUUUGGAUAAGCAGUGGGACAUGUCUAGGUUACUUCCGUCAGUGUGACAUCAUUCCAUACAGUAAAGAUGUAGACAUAGGGAUCUUCAUAAGUGACUACAGUGAGAAGAUAUUGCCAGAGUUUCUUGCACACGGCUUCACACUGAAGCACUGGUUUGGGAAAGUGAAUGACAGUCUGGAGCUGUCCUUCUCCAGUGGUGACCUUAAGCUUGACAUAUUUUUCUUCUAUGAAGAUGGACGAUUUUUGUGGAAUGGAGGCACACAGGCAAAAUCUGGGAAAAAAUUUAAGUAUGUGUUUCCACGAUUCACUCUCUGCUGGACAGAGUUUCUUGAACUGAAAGUGAGAGUGCCUUGUGAGACUCAGGCAUACAUUGAGGCCAACUAUGGUUCUGAUUGGUUCACUCCAAUGACACGCUGGGACUGGAAGAGCAGUCCACCAAAUGUGAGAGAGAAUGGGGAGUGGCCACCGGAUGAGUGGUCUGAAGUAAUGAGAGUGUACAAUUGACUGUGAACUGAAGUCGUCGAUGAUAUCUGCAUCUUUGUGGUUGUGCUGCUCACUGGAGAGGUUAAAUGAGGGAUUAUCGUAGCCAAUGUUGGAGACACGAUUUUGGAAAUAGAAGGCUGCACCAACUGUUGGAAAAGUCACAGAGGCUUACUCAUGUUUUCUCGUUGGGUUGUCUUGGCAGACUUACUUGUUGCUGAUGUUCAAGAGGUUGAGACGCCAUGCAGUAACCAUGAGUAGCGUGAAGAUGGCUGCCACACCCAAAAAGAUAUACAGCCAGAGGUGUAGUGUCUCUUCAAUAUCUGGGACCUGGUAUACCUGCACAAAGUAAUGUGAGUGUCCAGACGUCUCAGUUGCUUUAUCUGAUAUCGCAGUCAGAACCAACUAAAUGCCGCAGGGAUUCUUCUGAUGAAUGCUAUGCCACACAUUCUUCUCAAGACACCAUGUCACAUCCACAGCAGAACACAGCAGCUGCUUUAAAGAGGCUGAUGUACCAAGGGACAGGCAGAGGAACAGGUGCAUCGUCGUGGCCUGAAGGAGAGAACAGGACAGCAGUUAACAUGGGCUUUCAGGCAGUGGAAAUUCUACAUGGACAAGGAGAACCAUGAGAAUGACAGAAGUUUCGACACUGGAGAGGAUAUGACUGGAUCCAGCACGAUUUGCGCGCAUCAGGGGUUCAGCGUUCCUGCAGCAUCACAUUCCUCAUGCUUCAACUUCUUUUUCAAAUACACACACACACACAUUGUAAUUGUUUGUACAACAAUGAAGACACAAAGACAAAAGAAAACUUUAUUUUUUCAGUAAUUAAAAAGUGAAAAUUACAAUUAAUUGUAUGUAAUAAAUUAGAUUAGAAAAUAAAGUAUUGAUGUGUUGUGAUUGUACAAUGCAGAAGUGAAUUGUGUUGUUGAAGAACAAGAAGUUUUGGAGAUGGAAGAAAUUGCUCUAAAUGCAUUCCUGUGACAUUGAAAGAACACAUUGCAUACACAACGCAUAAAUGCUAAAGCUUGCUGUAAAUCUGACAAAGAGACUACAUGUUCCCACAGUACACACAAUGAAAGUUGAUAUUUGAGAUGGAAUUUCUUGGCUGAGUGACUUAUCACCUUCUCAAGAAGGACUCUGCUCCAAGGAGUUAUGUUUAAAAAAUUUAUUGGACGUUUUCUGUGUGGUAAAUAUUUAAUCAGAUAAGCACAUUGCAUCUUCUUCAAAACUGUAGUUACAAGAAUGGGGCAGUGAUUCUAGAUCUGUACACGGAACUUACAAAUCAGUGGUGCAGCCACUUGCCCACGGAUUUUUCUACCCUGAAGAUGGAGUCGAUACGCUCCUCCGAAAUCACUUUCACAUAUGUCUUACAGGAGUGUUAGAAGUUACAAACGUUUGUAAAGUUUUUGUGUACAUGUAAAAUGGACUCUGUAUGGUUGCAACUUACCUCUCUUUUCCUAGUUUUUAUCAAAUAAAGUACAGCCAAUGAUA